ACGAACGCUGGCGGCGUGCUUAACACAUGCAAGUCGAACGGAAAGGCCCCUUCGGGGGUACUCGAGUGGCGAACGGGUGAGUAACACGUGGGUAAUCUGCCCUGCACUUCGGGAUAAGCCUGGGAAACUGGGUCUAAUACCGGAUAGGACCCCGAGGCGCAUGCCUUGGGGUGGAAAGCUUUUGCGGUGUGGGAUGGGCCCGCGGCCUAUCAGCUUGUUGGUGGGGUGACGGCCUACCAAGGCGACGACGGGUAGCCGGCCUGAGAGGGUGUCCGGCCACACUGGGACUGAGAUACGGCCCAGACUCCUACGGGAGGCAGCAGUGGGGAAUAUUGCACAAUGGGCGCAAGCCUGAUGCAGCGACGCCGCGUGGGGGAUGACGGCCUUCGGGUUGUAAACCUCUUUCACCAUCGACGAAGGUCCGGGUUUUCUCGGAUUGACGGUAGGUGGAGAAGAAGCACCGGCCAACUACGUGCCAGCAGCCGCGGUAAUACGUAGGGUGCGAGCGUUGUCCGGAAUUACUGGGCGUAAAGAGCUCGUAGGUGGUUUGUCGCGUUGUUCGUGAAAUCUCACGGCUUAACUGUGAGCGUGCGGGCGAUACGGGCAGACUGGAGUACUGCAGGGGAGACUGGAAUUCCUGGUGUAGCGGUGGAAUGCGCAGAUAUCAGGAGGAACACCGGUGGCGAAGGCGGGUCUCUGGGCAGUAACUGACGCUGAGGAGCGAAAGCGUGGGGAGCGAACAGGAUUAGAUACCCUGGUAGUCCACGCCGUAAACGGUGGGUACUAGGUGUGGGUUUCCUUCCUUGGGAUCCGUGC
rnacentral:rRNA from 1 species